CGGCAUAUUACAAUCUUCGUCCUCUCACAAACUGACACACGCAGAGGCCACACAUCUUGAUAAACCCCACGUCCCUCUGUACUGUACACUCCAAUCUCCCGCAUUACAGUGCUGGUCGAGCUUCGAAGUGGAAGGGCUUUCCUUUCAAAGAGGGCUAGACACCAAUCCAGAGCGACAGCAAUGGCGGAAGAUGCAAUUCUAGGGUUCCUGGAAUCAAACGAGAAGAUAUCAGAUUCAGGCCAAUUCGCUACCGACGUGGAAUCGAUCAUAACGAAAUUAUCAACGUCAUCAAGAGUCUCCACGGUUUCAGACUAGUUGAUGCUCAGGACAUUAGGAGGGAGAAGUGGGUACUUAGUGAUGAAGGAAAGUCAUAUACCGUGGAGGGAUCACCCGAAGUGCAGCUCUUCUUGGCCAUACCGCCGGAGGGCAUUUCUCGAGAAGAAUUACAGAAAAAGGUGGAAGCAUCAGUUUACAAAAUAGGUUGUGCCCAGGCCAUAAAGAAUAAAUGGGUGGAGAUGGGGAAGCAGCUAGUUUCCAGAAAGGUUCAAAACGUUGAGGAUCGAGUCAAAGAUUUGCUUCUGCAGAUACAAGAAGGAGAGAUUGUUGAUCAAGAGGAUAUUGAUGCUCUCAAAAGACGGAAGCUUAUUGCCCUGCAGUAAUGAUCACAUUUUGUUUGCCUUUUUAUAUUACUAGAAUUCUUGCUUUGUGAUAUUAUUACAUGUGUUGUGGCUUGACAUAUCUUAUACAGUUUGUAUGUAGGGUAAAAUAUGCAUGAGAUAGUUGCCUAUGAAAAUAUUCCCUUCUGCUUGUUGAACUCAUGCCAAAAUCAGUGUAACUGGCAAUUUCCAGCCUAGGUAAAGGACAGUGCAGGUAUCUGUUCAAUGCAGAUAGGUGGGAUCCAACAUUGCAUUUGGUGUAAAAACUGUUUGACCCUGAUUUCUUGCUUACUCAGCCCAGAGUGGCAUUCCGCAAAACAAGUAGAUUCCCGCCCAACUUGCUCCUUUUUUUUUUGAGCCCAGAGUGGCAUUCCGCAAAACAAGUAGAUUCCCACCCAACCUGCUCUUUACUUCUUGAAAUAUUCCAUUGAGGUCAAAGUGUGUUUUGAACAAGUUGAUUGGUCUUGUUGGUUGAUUGAACUGUUGGCCCAGUGACCUGGUCAUGAGAAUUGGUUGAGAACUGAUUGGGUGUCGCAACAUUGAAGACUGUAGAGGUUUGCAUGGAGAGCAGAAGGCUCAGCGGCCAACAUUUACAUGGUUGUGAGGUGUCCGAUAUGACAGUUUUUGAAAUUGAAGUGUCCUUGUCACAUCACACUGGACCUUGUUAUGGCUAUUCCCUUGGAGCACAUGGUUGAAAGAAUUAGCUUCAGUUGCAUGAUGAAUAGAAAGAAAUUGACUAUUCUAUGUAGGAAAUUAGUCGGACUGAUUUCUGAUAUUUUGUUUUUCACAUUGUCAAUUGAUCAAAUAUGAUGUUGCAUGAACUCACUCUUUCCAACCCCACUACUUUUUCCUGUUGAGGCUUAGUGAUUUUAUCAACUAAAUAGCAAGCGGCAACAACAAUUUGUGGCCAAUAGACCCAAAAACCACCAUGGAAUUUAAUGUAACCUAGAUUCAGUUGCAAACCAGACCAAUCUUUCUUUAUUCUGGUGGAUAUGGGCCAAUGUAGUUGUCAUCUUUCUGGUGCAGGGGCACACGACCAGGCAGCUUUCUUUUCCCCAAUAAGAAUAAAUACUCAAAACUAAACUAAUGAAGUAAUUCCCGUAUUCAUCCCUCCUACCUAUAUUUUAGGCCUGUUAAAGUAUCCUGUCACAAAGAAAAGCCAUUGGACCAAAGGCUCAACAUGUAUAUAACCCAACCGAAGGUUUAAUUCUGAUGAGCUCAUUAAUGUGUGAAAUCUAGGGUAGUAAAACAUGCAUUUUACAUAUUUAGAAUGGAGCUACCUUGGGUUUUACUCUUUUUUUGCAGGUUUUAUAUUUUCAAGGCCUUAAGGAUUAUUGGGCG